rnacentral:rRNA from 1 species
GACGAACGCUGGCGGCGUGCUUAACACAUGCAAGUCGAGCGGUAAGGCCCUUUCGGGGGUACGACGAGCGGCGAACGGGUGAGUAACACGUGGGUGGACCUGCCCUCCAGCUCUGGGAUAAGCCUGGGAAACCGGGUCUAAUACUGGAUAUGACUCCAUGACGCAUGUUGUGGGGUGGAAAGCCUUGUGCGGCUGAGGAUGGGCCCGCGGCCUAUCAGCUUGUUGGUGGGGUGAUGGCCUACCAAGGCGACGACGGGUAGCCGGCCUGAGAGGGCGACCGGCCGACACUGGGACUGAGACACGGCCCAGACUCCUACGGGA